AAACGAAAGAGGCCAAGUAGCGCUCCGCCCUGACACGCCGGCUCCGGUGGGCUCCAGCCGGCUACGCCGCGGCGGACAACGAUGCUGAAGGCCAAGAUCCUCUUCGUGGGGCCUUGCGAGGUUCGAGUCCUGCUGGCCAGCCCUGAUGAAGGAUGCUCAUGGAGUGGUGAUCGUCUUCAAUGCUGACAUCCCAAGCCACAGGAAGGAAAUGGAGAUGUGGUAUUCCUGCUUUGUCCAACAGCCGUCCUUACAGGACACACAGUGUAUGCUAAUUGCACACCACAAACCAGGCUCUGGAGAUGAUAAAGGAAGCCUGUCUUUGUGUAAGGAAACUGGAAUUUCUCUUCCUGUUUUGUCUUGAAUGUUUUGGACACCUACAUAUUGUCCUAUGUCCUAGAAACCAGCAGCUCUGUCCAGUUACUGAGCACCUACUGUACCCUAGACAAUUGUUGCCCUCUCCAUGUGAGUCCACUCUGUCUCUACUAAAAAUACAAAAAUUAGCCAGGCAUGAUGGCAGGCACCUGUACUCCCAGCUACUCAGGGGACUAAGGCAGGAGAAUUGCUUGAGCCCAGGAGGCGGAGAAUGCAGUGAGUUGAGAUCUCACCACUACACUCCAGCUUGUGUGAGAGGGCGAGACACCAUCUCAAAAAAAAGAAAAAGAAAGAGGCCGGGCGCGGUGGCUCACGCCUGUAAUCCCAACACUUUGGGAGGCCAGGGUGGGCGGAUCACUUGAGGUCAGGAGUUCUAGACCAACCUGGCCAACACGGUGAAACCCCAUCUCUACUAAAAAUACAAAAAUUAGCCAGGGGUGGUAAUGCAUACCUGUAAUCCCAGCUACUCAGGAGGCUGAGGCAGGAGAAUCACUUGUACCUGGGAGGUAGAGGUUGCAGUGAGCUGAGAUUGUGCCGUUGCACUCCAGCCUGGACAACAAGAGUGAAACUCUAUUUCAAAAAAAAAAAAGAGUAGAAUACAGAGUGGGAAAAUCCUUGUAGCUAUUCUUGGGUACAACUAGGGGGGCACUCUUUCUGAAAGAACUUUUCUGGAAAAAAACCUCCAAUUCACAUAACACACAUCCCAGAGGUGACACAGUCAUCCUGAAAAAGAACUCACAAAAUAUUCAGAAACAAAAUGAGAAUAAUAGAGAAUCUAUUCCUUUCUGGUUUA
rnacentral:sRNA from 1 species